AGUAGGUUUUUCGGUUGAAACUCUGUCUUAGGGACGUAUGAGGGGCUAACAAGAAAGCACCGGCUAACUACGUGCCAGCAGCCGCGGUAAAACGUAGGUGGCAAGCGUUGUCCGGAAUUACUGGGUGUAAAGGGAGCGCAGGCGGGAAGACAAGUUGGAAGUGAAAACCAUGGGCUCAACCCAUGAAUUGCUUUCAAAACUGUUUUUCUUGAGUAGUGCAGAGGUAGAUGGAAUUCCCGGUGUAGCGGUGGAAUGCGUAGAUAUUGGGAGGAACACCAGUGGCGAAGGCGGCCUACUGGGCACCAACUGACGCUGAGGCUCGAAAGCAUGGGUAGCAAACAGGAUUAGUACCCUGGUAGUCCACGCCGUAAACGAUGAUUACUAGGUGUGGGGGGAUUGAC
rnacentral:rRNA from 1 species